rnacentral:rRNA from 1 species
UACGAAGGGGGCUAGCGUUGUUCGGAAUCACUGGGCGUAAAGGGCGCGUAGGCGGCUUUUCAAGUCGGGGGUGAAAGCCUGUGGCUCAACUACAGAAUUGCCUUCGAUACUGUUAGGCUUGAGACCGGAAGAGGUGAGUGGAACUGCGAGUGUAGAGGUGAAAUUCGUAGAUAUUCGCAAGAACACCAGUGGCGAAGGCGGCUCACUGGUCCGGUUCUGACGCUGAGGCGCGAAAGCGUGGGGAGCAAACAGG